ACUCCUACGGGAGGCAGCAGUGGGAAUAUUGCGCAAUGGACGAAAGUACUGACGCAGCGACGCCGCGUGGAGGAUGUAAGGUUUCGGUAUCGUAAACUCCUGUCAAGAGGGAAGAAACCUAUCAUGAAUAAUACUUAUGGUAAUUGACGGUACCUCUAGAGGAAGCACCGGCUAAUUCAGUGCCAGCAGCCGCGGUAAUACUGAAGGUGCAAGCGUUAAUCGGAAUCACUGGGCGUAAAGCGCUCGUAGGUGGCUUUGUAAGUCAGGUGUGAAAGCCCACGGCUCAACCGUGGAAUUGCACUUGAUACUGCAUCGCUAGAGUAUAGGAGAGGGAAGUGGAAUUUCUGGUGUAGGAGUGAAAUCCGUAGAGAUCAGAAGGAACACCCGUGGCGAAGGCGACUUCCUGGACUAUUACUGACACUGAGGAGCGAAA
rnacentral:rRNA from 1 species